AACGCGUAGAAAUCUGCCUGGUAGUGGGGGAUAGCCCAGAGAAAUUUGGAUUAAUACCGCAUACGCCCUACGGGGGAAAGCAGGGGACCUUCGGGCCUUGCGCUAUCAGAUGAGUCUGCGUCGGAUUAGCUUGUUGAUGAGGUAAUGGCUCACCAAGGCGACGAUCCGUAGCUGGUCUGAGAGGAUGAUCAGCCACACUGGGACUGAGACACGGCCCAG
rnacentral:rRNA from 1 species